GCCUCGUGGUGUAGUGGUCAGCACGCUGGGCGCGUAUUCCAGAGGUCCGUGGUUCGAAUCUCGGCGAAGGCG
rnacentral:tRNA from 1 species